GACGUAGGGCGCAAGCGUUGUCCGGAUUUAUUGGGCGUAAAGGGCGCGUAGGCGGCCUGUGCAAGUCAGUUGUGAAAUCUCCGAGCUUAACUCGGAACGGUCAACUGAUACUGCUCGGCUAGAGUGCGGAAGGGGCAACUGGAAUUCUUGGUGUAGCGGUGAAAUGCGUAGAUAUCAAGAGGAACACCUGCGGCGAAGGCGGGUUGCUGGGCCGACACUGACGCUGAGGCGCGAAAGCUAGGGGAGCGAACGGG
rnacentral:rRNA from 1 species